AUUACUUUGUCAGAUUAAUGAGAUAAAAUUAGAAUUUAUUUAUAUAUGUUAAAUAUAAGUAAUA
rnacentral:tRNA from 1 species